GGUCCAGUAGCGGAUGGUCCGCGCCUGCUUCCAGUCUUGAAGGGCAGUAUGACAUCUACCCGCAGGAGUUGCUCGUUCGAAUCGGGCCUGGACCU